rnacentral:rRNA from 1 species
GUAGGGGGCGAACGUUUGUCCGGAUUUAUUGGGCGUAAAGAGCUCGUAGGCGGCUCAGCAAGUCGGCCGUGAAAGCCCGGGGCUCAACCCCGGGACGCCGGUCGAAACUGCUGUGGCUAGGGUCCGGUAGAGGAGAGUGGAAUUCCCGGUGUAGCGGUGAAAUGCGCAGAUAUCGGGAGGAACACCAGUAGCGAAGGCGGCUCUCUGGGCCGGUACCGACGCUGAGGAGCGAAAGCUAGGGGAGCAAACAGGAUUAGAUACCCUGGGUAGUCCUAGCCGUAAACGUUGGGCACUAGGUGUGGCGGACUCAUUGACGUCCCGCCCGUGUCGUAGCUAACGCAUUAAGUGCCCCGCCUGGGGAGUACGGUCGCAAGGCUA